rnacentral:misc_RNA from 1 species
GAAAUACGAUAAGGAGUGUGAAUUGCAGGAUUCAGUGAAUCAUCGAAUCUUUGAACGCACAUUGCGCCCCUUGGUAUUCCAUGGGGCAUGACUGUUCGAGCGUCAUUUGUACCCUCAAGCUUUUCUUGGUGUUGGGCGUCUUGUGCUAUUCUGGAGGACUAGCCUCAAAACAAUUGGCAGCCGGCAUAUUGGUAUCGGAGCGCAGCACAAGUCGCACUUUGUUCCAUGAAUGUUGGCAUCCAUCAAGACCAGUUUUUCACUCUUGACCUCGGAUCAGGUAGGGAUACCCGCUGAACUUAA